AUUGAACGCUGGCGGCAUGCCUUACACAUGCAAGUCGAACGGCAGCACGGACUUCGGUCUGGUGGCGAGUGGCGAACGGGUGAGUAAUGUAUCGGAACGUACCUUUCAGUGGGGGAUAACGUAGCGAAAGUUACGCUAAUACCGCAUAUUCUGUGAGCAGGAAAGCAGGGGAUCGCAAGACCUUGCGCUGAUUGAGCGGCCGAUAUCAGAUUAGCUAGUUGGUGGGGUAAAGGCCUACCAAGGCUACGAUCUGUAGCGGGUCUGAGAGGAUGAUCCGCCACACUGGAACUGAGACACGGUCCAGACUCCUACGGGAGGCAGCAGUGGGGAAUUUUGGACAAUGGGGGCAACCCUGAUCCAGCCAUGCCGCGUGAGCGAUGAAGGCCUUCGGUCGUAAGCUCUGUCUCAGAAGAUAAUAGACGGUACUUGUAGGAGGGAAGGCCCCGGCCGUAACCUACGUGCCGACGCAGCCGCGGUACGAGUACUCUAC
rnacentral:rRNA from 1 species